rnacentral:rRNA from 1 species
UACGUAGGGUCCGAGCGUUGUCCGGAGUUACUGGGCGUAAAGCGCGCGCAGGCGGCGGUGCUGGCCCGGCGUGAAAGCCCCCGGCUCAACCGGGGAGAGUCGUCGGGGGACCGCACCGCUUGAGGGCGGUAGGGGCUGGUGGAAUGCCUGGUGUAGUGGUGAAAUGCGUAGAGAUCAGGCAGAACACCUGGGGCGAAGGCGGCCAGGCUGG